AUUGAACGCUGGCGGAAUGCUUUACACAUGCAAGUCGAACGGCAGCACGGGGCAACCUGGUGGCGAGUGGCGAACGGGUGAGUAAUAUAUCGGAACGUGCCCAAUCGUGGGGGAUAACGUAGCGAAAGUUACGCUAAUACCGCAUACGAUCUACGGAUGAAAGCGGGGGACUCGCAAGGGCCUCGCGCGGACGGAGCGGCCGAUGGCAGAUUAGGUAGUUGGUGGGAUAAAAGCUUACCAAGCCGACGAUCUGUAGCUGGUCUGAGAGGACGACCAGCCACACUGGGACUGAGACACGGCCCAGACUCCUACGGGAGGCAGCAGUGGGGAAUUUUGGACAAUGGGCGCAAGCCUGAUCCAGCCAUGCCGCGUGCAGGAUGAAGGCCUUCGGGUUGUAAACUGCUUUGUACGGUAACGAAAAGCUCUCUCUAAUACAGGGGUGAAUGACGGUACCGUAAGAAUAAGCACCGGCUAACUACGUGCCAGCAGCCGCGGUAA
rnacentral:rRNA from 1 species